AUUGAACGCUGGCGGCAGGCUUAACACAUGCAAGUCGAGCGGGGGAAGGUAGCUUGCUACCGGACCUAGCGGCGGACGGGUGAGUAAUGCUUAGGAAUCUGCCUAUUAGUGGGGGACAACAUCUCGAAAGGGAUGCUAAUACCGCAUACGUCCUACGGGAGAAAGCAGGGGAUCUUCGGACCUUGCGCUAAUAGAUGAGCCUAAGUCGGAUUAGCUAGUUGGUGGGGUAAAGGCCUACCAAGGCGACGAUCUGUAGCGGGUCUGAGAGGAUGAGCCGGCACACUGGGACUGGGACACGGCCCAGAAUCCUACGGGAGGCAGCAGUGGGGAAUAUUGGACAAUGGGGGGAACCCUGAUCUAGCCAUGCCGCGUGUGUGAAGAAGGCCUUAUGGUUGUAAAGCACUUUAAGCGAGGAGGAGGCUACUCUAGUUAAUACCUAGGGAUAGUGGACGUUACUCGCAGAAUAAGCACCGGCUAACUCUGUGCCAGCCGCCGCAGUAA
rnacentral:rRNA from 1 species